rnacentral:rRNA from 1 species
GACGAACGCUGGCGGCGUGCUUAACACAUGCCAGUCGAACGGAAAGGCCCUGCUUUUGUGGGGUGCUCGAGUGGCGAACGGGUGAGUAACACGUGAGUAACCUGCCCUUGACUUUGGGAUAACUUCAGGAAACUGGGGCUAAUACCGGAUAGGAGCUCCUGCUGCAUGGUGGGGGUUGGAAAGUUUCGGCGGUUGGGGAUGGACUCGCGGCUUAUCAGCUUGUUGGUGGGGUAGUGGCUUACCAAGGCUUUGACGGGUAGCCGGCCUGAGAGGGUGACCGGCCACAUUGGGACUGAAAUACGGCCCAGACUCCUACGGGAGGCAGCAGUGGGGAAUAUUGCACAAUGGGCGGAAGCCUGAUGCAGCAACGCCGCGUGCGGGAUGACGGCCUUCGGGUUGUAAACCGCUUUCGCCUGUGACGAAGCGUGAGUGACGGUAAUGGGUAAAGAAGCACCGGCUAACUACGUG